rnacentral:rRNA from 1 species
UACAGAGGCCUCGAGCGUUAGGCGGAAUCACUGGGCUUAAAGCGUGUGUAGGCGGACUUCUAAGUACCUUGUGAAAUCCCACGGCUCACCCGUGGAACUGCUUGGUAUACUGGUCGUCUUGAGCCUUCUAGGGGCGAGUGGAACAAAUGGUGGAGCGGUGAAAUGCGUAGAUAUCGGAAGGAACAUCAGUGGCGAAAGCGACUUCCUGGACCAAUACUGACGCUCAUGUGCGAAAGCGUGGGGAGCAAACAGG